GACGAACGCUGGCGGCGUGCUUAACACAUGCAAGUCGAACGGGUCUGCCCUGUUUUUUGCGGGGUGGGUCAGUGGCGAACGGGUGAGUAACACGUGAGUAACCUGCCCCUCACUUCUGGAUAACCGCUUGAAAGGGUGGCUAAUACGGGGUGUUCUGGCUGUGCCGCAUGGUGUGGCUGGGAAAGAUUCACUUUUGUGGUGUUUUGGUGGGGGAUGGGCUCGCGGCCUAUCAGCUUGUUGGUGGGGUGAUGGCCUGCCAAGGCUUUGACGGGUAGCCGGCCUGAGAGGGUGGGCGGUCACACUGGGGCUGAGAUACGGACCAGACUCCUGCGGGAGGCAGCAGGGGGGGGUAUUGCACAAUGGGCGGAAGCCUGAUGCAGCGACGUCGCGGGAGGGAUGGAGGCCUGCAGGUUGUGAACCUCUUUCGCCGGUGAAGAAGGUCCUGCUCUUUGUGGUGGGGUUGACGGUAGCCGGGUUAUGAAGCGCCGGCUAACUACGUG
rnacentral:rRNA from 1 species